CAAGUCUACGAGAAAAGGUAGCAAUAUCCUGAGUAAAGUGGCGCACGGGUGAGUAACACGUAGGCAAUCUGCCUUUAGGACGGGGACAACCUCGAGAAAUCGAGGCUAAUACCCGAUAAUGCAGCGGCACCGCAUGGUGACAGUUGUUAAAGGCCCGCAAGGGCGCCUAUUGAUGAGCCUGCGUCCCAUUAGGUAGUUGGUGAGGUAACGGCCCACCAAGCCUUCGAUGGGUAGCUGGUCUGAGAGGAUGAUCAGCCACACUGGAACUGAGACACGGUCCAGACUCCUGCGGGAGGCAGCAGUGAGGAAUAUUGCGCAAUGGCCGAAAGGCUGACGCAGCGACGCCGCGUGAAGGAUGAAGUCCGUUAGGACGUAAACUUCUUUUGCAGGGGAUGAAUGUGGUGCCUUCGGGUACCAUUGACCGUACCCUGCGAAUAAGGAUCGGCUAACUACGUGCCAGCAGCCGCGGU
rnacentral:rRNA from 1 species